rnacentral:rRNA from 1 species
CGAGAUAAAAGGUGCCUGUACCGCAAACCGACACAGGUAGGCGAGGAGAGAAUCCUAAGGUGUGCGAGAGAACUCUGGUUAAGGAACUCGGCAAAAUGACCCCGUAACUUCGGGAGAAGGGGUGCUUUCUUAACGGAAAGCCGCAGUGAAUAGGCCCAAGCGACUGUUUAGCAAAAACACAGCUCUCUGCGAAGCCGUAAGGCGAAGUAUAGGGGGUGACACCUGCCCGGUGCUGGAAGGUUAAGGAGAGGGGUUAGCGUAAGCGAAGCUCUGAACUGAAGCCCCAGUAAACGGCGGCCGUAACUAUAACGGUCCUAAGGUAGCGAAAUUCCUUGUCGGGUAAGUUCCGACCCGCACGAAAGGUGUAACGAUUUGGGCACUGUCUCAACCAGAGACUCGGUGAAAUUAUAGUACCUGUGAAGAUGCAGGUUACCCGCGACAGGACGGAAAGACCCCGUGGAGCUUUACUGUAGCCUGAUAUUGAAUUUUGGUACAGUUUGUACAGGAUAGGCGGGAGCCUUUGAAACCGGAGCGCUAGCUUCGGUGGAGGCGCUGGUGGGAUACCGCCCUGACUGUAUUGAAAUUCUAACCUACGGGUCUUAUCGACCCGGGAGACAGUGUCAGGUGGGCAGUUUGACUGGGGCGGUCGCCUCCUAAAGUGUAACGGAGGCGCCCAAAGGUUCCCUCAGAAUGGUUGGAAAUCAUUCGUAGAGUGCAAAGGCAUAAGGGAGCUUGACUGCGAGACCUACAAGUCGAGCAGGGACGAAAGUCGGGCUUAGUGAUCCGGUGGUUCCGCAUGGAAGGGCCAUCGCUCAACGGAUAAAAGCUACCCCGGGGAUAACAGGCUUAUCUCCCCCAAGAGUCCACAUCGACGGGGAGGUUUGGCACCUCGAUGUCGGCUCAUCGCAUCCUGGGGCUGUAGUCGGUCCCAAGGGUUGGGCUGUUCGCCCAUUAAAGCGGUACGCGAGCUGGGUUCAGAACGUCGUGAGACAGUUCGGUCCCUAUCCGUCGUGGGCGUAGGAAAUUUGAGAGGAGCUGUCCUUAGUACGAGAGGACCGGGAUGGACGCACCGCUGGUGUACCAGUUGUUCUGCCAAGGGCAUAGCUGGGUAGCUAUGUGCGGAAGGGAUAAGUGCUGAAAGCAUCUAAGCAUGAAGCCCCCCUCAAGAUGAGAUUUCCCAUAGCGUAAGCUAGUAAGAUCCCUGAAAGAUGAUCAGGUUGAUAGGUUCGAGGUGGAAGCAUGGUGACAUGUGGAGCUGACGAAUACUAAUAGAUCGAGGACUUAACCAU